rnacentral:rRNA from 1 species
GAUGAACGCUAGCGGCAGGCUUAACACAUGCAAGUCGAGGGGCAGCGAGGGUAGCAAUACCUGUCGGCGACCGGCGGAAGGGUGAGUAACGCGUGAGCAACAUGCCCGUAUCAGGGGGAUAAUCCAUGGAAACGUGGUCUAAUACCCCAUAGUAAUUAUGUAAGGCAUCUUAUAUAAUUUAAAGCUUUGGUGGAUACGGAUUGGCUCGCGUGACAUUAGCUAGAUGGUAAGGUAACGGCUUACCAUGGCUACGAUGUCUAGGGGUUCUGAGAGGAAGGUCCCCCACACUGGAACUGAGACACGGUCCAGACUCCUACGGGAGGCAGCAGUGAGGAAUAUUGGACAAUGGAUGGAAAUCUGAUCCAGCCAUGCCGCGUGCAGGAAGACGGCCCUAUGGGUU